rnacentral:rRNA from 1 species
ACGAGGGGUGCAAGCGUUAUUCGGAUUGAUUGGGUGUAAAGGGUGUGCAGACGGCUUAUUAAGUCACUUGUUAAAUUCUUCGGCCUAACUGAAGGUCUGCAAGUGAUACUGAUGAGCUAGAGGGUGGAAGAGAGAAGUGGAAUUCUCGGAGUAGCGGUAAAAUGCGUAGAUCUCGAGAGGAACACCAAUGGCGAAGGCAGCUUCGUGGUCCAUUCCUGACGUUCAUACACGAAAGCGUGGGGAGCAAACAG